rnacentral:rRNA from 1 species
CCUACGGGCGGCUGCAGUGAGGAAUCUUUGUCAAUGGACGAGAGUCUGAACCAGCCAAGUAGCGUGAAGGAAGACUGCUCUAUGGGUUGUAAACUUCUUUUAUAUGGGAAUAAAAUGUUCCAAGUGUGGCAUUAUGUAUGUACCAUAUGAAUAAGGAUCGGCUAACUCCGUGCCAGCAGCCGCGGUAAUACGGAGGAUUCGAGCGUUGUCCGGAUUUAUUGGGUUUAAAGGGCGCGUAGGUGGUUUGUUAAGUCAGUUGUGAAAGUGUGCGGCUCAACCGUAAAAUUGCAGUUGAAACUGGCAGUCUUGAGUACAGUAGAGGUAGGCGGAAUUCGUGGUGUAGCGGUGAAAUGCUUAGAUAUCACGAAGAACUCCGGUUGCGAAGGCAGCUCACUGGACUGCAACUGACACUGAGGCUCGAAAGUGUGGGUAUCAAACAGGAUUAGAUACCCGGGUAGUC